rnacentral:misc_RNA from 1 species
UCUCCGUUGGUGAACCAGCGGAGGGAUCAUUACCGAGUGCAAACUCAUAACCCUUUGUGAACCUAUAUCUGUUGCUUCGGCGGCUCGCUCUCGGGCGAGCCCGCCGGUAAUAUCAGUAUCUCUGUUUGAACCCGACGAUACUUCUGAGAGUUCUUAGCGAACAGUUAAAACUUUUAACAACGGAUCUCUUGGCUCUA